CCUCCACACACUUCCCGUCCUACCCAUCUGCAUCCACGCGCCCCGCCCGGCAUCGUGACUGACAAAAUAUCACCUGUGGCCUUGACCCUCACCUGCAUCUCGCUCGGCGCUCCUCACACCUUACCCGCCUCACACCUCUCCUACCGGCCGAUACAGCACGCCAGAGAGGAAGUGAGGCGUGAGCCGUGACACUUGACCUGACUCCAACCAAGUGAGGG